rnacentral:rRNA from 1 species
GAGUUUGAUCAUGGCUCAGAUUGAACGCUGGCGGCAGGCCUAACACAUGCAAGUCGAGCGGAUGACGGGAGCUUGCUCCUUGAUUCAGCGGCGGACGGGUGAGUAAUGCCUAGGAAUCUGCCUGGUAGUGGGGGACAACGUUUCGAAAGGAACGCUAAUACCGCAUACGUCCUACGGGAGAAAGCAGGGGACCUUCGGGCCUUGCGCUAUCAGAUGAGCCUAGGUCGGAUUAGCUAGUUGGUGGGGUAAUGGCUCACCAAGGCGACGAUCCGUAACUGGUCUGAGAGGAUGAUCAGUCACACUGGAACUGAGACACGGUCCAGACUCCUACGGGAGGCAGCAGUGGGGAAUAUUGGACAAUGGGCGAAAGCCUGAUCCAGCCAUGCCGCGUGUGUGAAGAAGGUCUUCGGAUUGUAAAGCACUUUAAGUUGGGAGGAAGGGCAGUAAGUUAAUACCUUGCUGUUUUGACGUUACCGACAGAAUAAGCACCGGCUAACUCUGUGCCAGCAG